UACAACCAUAUCAGAUUGAAACACCGAGUUCCGUAUGAUCACCGAAGUUAACCAACGUCGAGCUUGGUCAGUACUGAAAUGUGUGACCGCUUGUGAAUACUGGUGCUGUAA